rnacentral:rRNA from 1 species
CGGUACUCAGUUCGGAUUNAAGGCUGAAAUUCGCCUUCAUGAAGCUGGAAUUGCUAGUAAUCGCGGAUCAGCAUGCCGCGGUGAAUACGUUCCCGGGCCUUGUACACACCGCCCGUCACACCAUGAGAGUUUGUAACACCCAAAGCCGGUGGGGUAACCUUUUGGAGCCAGCCGUCUAAGGUGGGACAGAUGAUUGGGGUGAAGUCGUAACAAGGUACC